rnacentral:lncRNA from 1 species
UACAGACAGCGCCUGGGCAGGUGGUAAGCCACCGUGGUGGCACCAUCGUCUUGCCCUGCCGCUACCACUAUGAGGCAGCCGCCCACGGUCACGACGGCGUCCGGCUCAAGUGGACAAAGGUGGUGGACCCGCUGGCCUUCACCGACGUCUUCGUGGCACUAGGCCCCCAGCACCGGGCAUUCGGCAGCUACCGUGGGCGGGCUGAGCUGCAGGGCGACGGGCCUGGGGAUGCCUCCCUGGUCCUCCGCAACGUCACGCUGCAAGACUACGGGCGCUAUGAGUGCGAAGUCACCAAUGAGCUGGAAGAUGACGCUGGCAUGGUCAAGCUGGACCUGGAAGGGUACCCCACUCACCCCCAACCCGCGUCCCUCAAACACAGACACACAAAAUACUUGAGCUGAACGGACUGUGAGUCCA